AUUGAACGCUGGCGGCAUGCCUAACACAUGCAAGUCGAACGGCAGCACGGCAGUAGCAAUACUGUGGGUGGCGAGUGGCGGACGGGUGAGGAAUACGUCGGAAUCUGCCCAGUCGUGGGGGGAUAACUAGCCGAAAGGUUAGCUAAUACCGCAUACGACCGAGAGGUGAAAGCGGGGGACCGCAAGGCCUCGCGCGAUUGGAUGAGCCGACGUCGGAUUAGCUAGUUGGUGGGGUAAAGGCCCACCAAGGCGACGAUCCGUAGCUGGUCUGAGAGGAUGAUCAGCCACACUGGAACUGAGACACGGUCCAGACUCCUACGGGAGGCAGCAGUGGGGAAUAUUGGACAAUGGGCGCAAGCCUGAUCCAGCAAUGCCGCGUGUGUGAAGAAGGCCUCGGUGUAAGACACUUUAUCUAGACGAAAGACGUGGAGUUAUACUCUGACGUGCUGACGGUACCGUCG
rnacentral:rRNA from 1 species